rnacentral:lncRNA from 1 species
UGAGCUGAUAAAGUUACAUCAAAUUCUCAAAAUAUUCUUUAAAUUUAAGUCAUAACAUGCAAACCGAUAGGGAAAUCUCUACUCACAUGGUGAGCUUCAUGGUUCAAAUUCAACAGGUUUUAACAGGUUUGCUACCAAGUAGUAGUCUAUGAAACUAAGCCAGGUUUGCUAUUAGGUAGGGGCAUGGAGAUCAUAAACUAAGAAUCCAAUAGCUCAAAUUAGAUAGGUUCUUGGCAAAUUUGGAGGUUCGGGACUGAGAUGCAUUAAGGUCACAUUUCAAUCGUGCAUGGCACCGAAAAGCAACUAGGGCCGUGGUACCCUGCUGGAAGGAUAGGACCAACAUGGCUCAGGCAUAGGCCAUCUGUUAAUGAACAAUGUAUUAAUAAUUAAUCAAUGAAUUAUUUAUAAAAUAAAGCAAGCAGAUCAUAUCGAGGAACUUCAAAGAAUACCUGUUUGGCUUCUUGUAGCUAGCCUCAUCAACAUCAGACCUACGAAGAGCACAAAAACUAAGUGAGCUGAAGAUCACAAGUAGAAGCUUGGGGGCACUUGACUGGCUUAUGCAUUGUAUUUGGCUCUUAGCUUAUUUAGGUACCGGAACUUUAGCGAAAAGUCAGCCAACCAUCCCCUUAAGAAUAGGAUAAUAUGCCCAAACAAGACAUGAAUUGCUGAUAUGGUUAAAAGAAAAUGUAAAAAUAAGAGUUUCCAACAAAAAGUAAUACAAACCAAGAUAGAAUCACCAAGUGCUUUUAAUGAUGGUUCUAGAUAAAAGAUUUUUUUAACAAAAAUAUUGUCAUCGCUACAUAAAAAAGAAAUUGAACAUUUUUUAAAUAUGAUAUUAUAAAAGCACUAGUUAUUUUUAUCAUUUGGCUAGCGCAACUACACUGUGAUCUAUUAAAUUUUCUAUAAAGACAACCAACCUGCAACUUCCUUAUCACUAAAGUUUGAGAGUUGCCAUGAUAUCUCCCGAAAUAUUUGGUAACCUGUGGAACAUAUAUUUUAGUUAAAAAGUUAAAAAUAUAUUUAAACAAACACAACUUGCAAAACAUAUGAAUAUUAUGUUCUUCUAUAUAUUUAGGUCAAGAAUGGACCCAAAUGAUACUAGUACUAGGCAGAUCGAAUGUAGCCCAUCAACAAUCUUUCCCAAAUGGCAAACAUAUCUACAGGUCAAGCCGAUGACUAGUCUUGUACAAAGAUCACAUGGAAAAUAAGAAUACAAUUGAGAGAAGAGAAGGAGCUUUAGAGGUCACCUCCGUGACCCGAAGUUAGCGGUGGGGGACAAGGUCGAUGGACGGUGGCUGGCGGCGCAAGCACCCGAGAUCCGGCGUCGAGGGAAGAGAAGCGGGUGAGGCGGUGCCGAACCGAGGGAUCGGAGGGAAUUGCAGGGUAGAGUACCGCCAGAUCUGAUUAUUCGCCGCCACCAGCGGGGAAAAGGGCGAAACCCUAGGCUAGACUAGGCGAUGGGAAGAUAGGGGGUCCAAGAGGCGGUGCGGGCAACUUUUCCAUGUCUUCUUCUAUAAUUAAUAUAAUGUAAUAUAGCUGGCGCAUUGCGUGGCGGCUCGGGAUUGGUGAAAUCUGACAGGAGAAGUUUGAUUUUUUUAAUUUGUGUUAGUUAAAUUAAAUAAAUUUGUUCGUGUUGCGUGGCGGCUCGGGAUUGGUGAAAUCUAACAGGAGAAGCUUGAUUUUUUUAAUUUAUGUUAGUUAAAUUAAAUAAGAGCCUUGUUAUGGUGGUUGUACGAUACCAUCGUCAUGAAUCCAAUAGCUGAGAAAUAAGAGGUACUUCGAGGUACCUGUACUUAAAUUGGUGGGUUCGGUACCAAAUAAAGUGGGAUCAGUACCGAUUUUAAUUAUUUUUAAAAUUCAUAAAUUUAAUUUUUAAAUAGCAUUUGCAGAUCAACGGCCACAAAAAUUCAGAAAAAAUGGGUACCGGACGGUACCUCCUGGUACCGUUCAACCACAAUAAAAAUCCUCAUUAAAUAAACUUGUCACAUGCCACUUUGGUAAACUUUUUGUUCUUUUGAAAGGAAAGACUUUCAUUAAACAACGACCAAACCUGGCAUGUUUACCAGUUACAAACUCGUAUAUAUGCCGAAUUUCGGUUACGGCGCAGUCUGGGCGCGAAGCAGAUCCUCUACCUUGUUGACACGUCAGUUAUUAGCAUAUAAAAUAUACAUGAAACUGACAACGCAUAAUCAAUAUUGUAGUAUUUUUUUUAAAGAACACUAAUUGUAGAUAGCAAAUCAUUUAGACAAGUAGAUAGCAAAUCAUUUAUUUUGAAAUACUGAACCCUACCAUAACUAUUACAUAAGGUCAAUCCUGCAUCUACUUCCCUGCCGUUCAGAUUAUUAGGCUGCAAGGUAUUUAAUACAUGUAUGGACCAUAAAUCGUACUAACGAUUAAGCAUGAAUAUGAUCUUUGUAUUUUAUUUUGUUGCUUGUUGAGACACAUGACAAUACUUGUUCACAAAAGUAUCCGGUUGAAAGAAUUGACUGAAUCUUGCGUACAUAGGUGGUGAUUGGUUGCUUGGCUUAGUCCAAGCUUGACAAUGAGUUAGCCAUGGCAAGCCUUCGCCUGGCUAUGCUAGUACUAUACCUCCUUGUUUGGUUGUUGUGCUAAGCUUAGCCUGGCUUACGAAGAUCGUGCUGGUUGAUUGGCUUGCAUUGGGUAUAGCCACCUCCUGUGCUAUGCAGCGAGUUUACCAUGCACCUGUGUCCUCCUAGACAUUUCACCCAACACCUUGAGCGCAAGUACAUGAAACACGUUCAUAACUCAUAUCGAAGUAGUAAAUCUAAUUAUGUAGCUCUUACUGUUGUGCAUGCAUAUGCUCUAAAGACUGAACCUUGACACAGGCAAACCAAAAGGAAAUUACGCUAUCUCUGUUCACACACGCGAAGGAAAGAAAAAUAAAAAAGAACAGAGACGGAAGGUUGCAGAUCGAGAAUUACAAAAUUGAACCCACAUAACUUUAAAAUUGACUGAUGAGCAUCAAAAUCCAAUUCUCACAUGGUGAAUCGAAUCUAGGCACAACCAAAAUUGGAUUCAUCAUUGCUUCUCUGCGUGCUGCUUCGAGGAGCAGCAGCUUCAGUGACCUGGCCGCGGAGUUGGAUUUGACGGGGUCAUCACUGGGCUAGUGUUCCCUCCACCGAGAUGAAGAACACGGCGCAGAGCACAGUGACUCAGUGAGCGCCACCGCGGGGAGCUGUCCGGCCACGAGACCGACGAGGAUGAUUGGCACCAAAGCGACCCACGGCAAUGCGCUCUCUGACCGAUGGUGGGACCUUGCUCCCCGUGUCGGAGUCAGAGCAGCUCAGCCUAGGCGUCUUGGCCGGCGACUCUGCUCCCGAAUUGACGAGACUAGGCCGAGGCCGCACAAAUCCAGCUCCUGUUUAUUCGUCUCCGGUAGCGGCCGCCGACGUCAAUCUUGAACAGCGCCACUGACGCGAGAGUCGCCGCGACCACAUGCCGCUUGCUCUAAAUCAUCAGCAUCGCCGGCGCUAGGACCCCGCCCACCGCGAGAAGCUCCGGCCGGAUGCUGAAGGCGGCGCCUUUGGGACGAGUCAGAGCCGGCACCGUCGUGUCCUACCGAGCCACCGAAAGCGGCAGCCUUUGCUGGGGUGCCAGCCCCGCUGCUGGCGCAGAAGGUCGGCGGCGGAGGCAUGGUGGUGGACUGGUGAGGAGAUGCGGCACACGGUGAGGAGACGCAGUGAUGUGAGCGGAACUGAGACCUUUUGCGCCAGCGAUGCUUGUGCAGCCUGCAUAAGCUGGAAACGGAGGGGAUUUGUGUUCCUGCAUAGCUCCAUAUCCAUCCUAACAAUCACUACCUAGCAUUCAGUAGGCAGAAUUGGGGGCUUUUGAGCCUUACUAGACAGAAUGAAAUAGCAGUAGGCUGUGCAGCAGCUGUGCCUGCAAAAAUUAAUGCCAAUAUUAGCAUGUCUUGAACUGAUCAAGAUUAUUAGAAUAUCAGGAACAUGCUAGCAGAGAACUUAAACUGUAAAACAACUGAUAUUAGUAGAAUAAUUGAACCUUCUGUUCAAUUUGCUUAAUAUCUCAUCACAUUCUGAAUCAUAAAAAUCGAUCAUGAAAUUAAAACACAAAUCUACGUUUCAGAUAUGCAAGCACCAGGAUGUAAAAAAAAAUCAGAAAUUGGAAGAGAGAAGAUCUGCACCAUCUUCACUCUGUAUUUUGAAGUAAACAAAGAAGCAAGGAGCGCAAGGCAUUCACAGAAGCAAGCACCGACGCCACCUACUUUGCAAUAUGUGAAGUGGAGCUGAUCAGCUGAAUGCCGACGGGUCGAGACACUGCAAGAAACAAACUACUCAGCGUGAAAUCUAGCAAGCUGUGCAUCCAGAGAAGGGCGAGGCGGCGGUGGAAGAAUCAGCGCAGCCGAAGGCUUCGGCGCUGGGAAGGCGACUGGACGCCGGAAAGAGUCGCCGCGCCCUUCACCUCCCGCGCAGUCCGCUACUCCGUUCUGCUCCCGCACUGCCGCCGCGUUUAGCAGCUUCCGCGGCCGCACCGCAGCCGCCUUGCUCAUCUCAUGCCGCAGGGGAUGCAUCGUGUGGUUGGGGGAAGAAGGGAUGGGGGCGAGAGAUUGGAGGGUACCGGGGCAAGACGGACGGGGAGGAACCGAGGAAGAAAUUUUGGCGUGGAAGAUUGGCGUGCGAGCAUGCUCUUUGCCGCCAUCAACGAUUCCGCCUUCCGCACCAGAUCGAGGAAGGCCGUCGUCGGUUGGGAACGAGGGCUACAACGCGGCGAGGACUGGCGAUACGAUCUGGGACAACGAGCCUUUGCCGGCGUCGCGCGAGACGACGACACCAUCCGCUCUCAUCAUUGUUGAUGGUCCACGUAGGACGGAUUGGCUGACCUGGUGGUAUAUAGAUAUCUUCUAAAUACCGUUGUAUAUGCCCUUCUAUGUUAUAGUUGGUACUCAAAUUUAAUAUUUCAUAUUGCAGAUAACUAGGUUUUAUUUUGGCGACAGAGGGUCUAACCCUUCUUGCAGGCCUGAAAAAUUCUACAACAAAUGAACAAAUGAUCUAUCACCAAAAGACAAAACGACAGACAUGGCAAGAAUAAAUUUGCCACAUGCACGUUAAUUUUAUUCAUGGAGAAAAUAUCAUGUCAUCAACUAUAUACUUACCAUAGCAUUCUAUAUUUUCAUGCAGGACUCUGGAUGUGCAGAUGAUCGAAGGAUGAACGAACUACAAGAUUUGCCCACAAGAGAAGUUUACUAUUUCAGAUUUCAUGUAUAUUUUAUUUUGGUCUGUGAACAUUGUGUUGUUGUAUUGUGUCAUUUUCUUCUCUGUAUAGAAUCUUUUUAUUUAAUGAACAUAUUUACUAUGUUGAACUCUUGUUGCACGUGUCAUGCUUGAUGCAUAUAACAUUUAUCACCUUACCAACAGUGAUCAGCAAAAGCCAAUUGAAAAUACCGUACCCAUAUACGAUUCCAAAAAAGCACAUAUUCUGUAUUAUACAGCACAUAUAUGCGUUGUUGAAAUACUUUGGUAGGUUGCAAAAUCCACUUACCAACGCAUUUAUAUGCAUUUUAUAUAGGACAUUACAACGCCACAUAUGGCAACGCAUAAUAUGCGUUGGUAUAGAUCCACUAGAAAUUUAUGAAGUUGUGACAGUCUGACUGUAUGGGGCCAGCUAGUGCAGUUCACUGAGGAAGUACAUGUUUUGUGUAUGCAUGUGUGUGUGUGUUUGUGUGUAUUAUGGCUGCUAGCAGCAUAUAUGCAGUUGUAAAUGUUAUUAUUCUCUAGUACUUCCCAUGGAUACUAUGAUCGUUUUGUUGAACCAUAAUCAAUGUCUUUAAUAAACAGAUUUCAUUCUUAUUUUGCUUUGAUGUUCGGUAAAUAAUUUAUCCGUGUUGCAACUUCUUGACUCAAAUUUUGUACAUCGAUGAGCUUGUUUUCACAAUUGGAGAACUCAAGUUCUGAGGGGUACAUGGAUCUCCUUUAGCUUCGUCGUGCUAGUGCAUCACAUAUGUGGCACAAUUUGGCAUGUGAACUCCUGUUUAUUUGCUCGUCAAUAAUGAAAUGGUCUAUUAGAAGGUACCUUUUUACUUGAAUGUUGUAAAGUGUCGAGUACCUAAACCGUUGUCCAUUUGGCCCACGGCUCACGGCUCGUGGGCCAGCCCACGGCAUGGCAUUUUGGCCCGGCCUAGGCACGGCAUGGUGGCCUUGCAGGCCGGCCCGGCCCAACCUACACCACAGGAUGGGCUUGGGCCGCUGCCUCAACCCGUGGGCUGGCCCGGGCACGGCACGGCCUAUUUAGCCCAUGGACUGCAACGGGCGGCAUGGCCUGUUUAGGCCCGUUUGGCCCACCUCCAUGUCCAUCUAAAACUAGCGGCCUGCUCCUCCCAAACCAACCCUAUCUGCUUCACGGCACCUUCAUCCCACCAACUGCCGCCUCCCUCGCGACUCACCCUCUCCCUCGCAACUGCCACGUCCCCCUAUCCCCCCUCCGCUUCCUCGCAACUCCCCAGCGGCCUCCUCCCACGGCCCUCCGCCGCCUCCUCUCGCGGCGGAGCCGGCCACCUCCUCCCGCGGCCCUCCGUUGCCUCCCCCUGCAGCCCUGCCCUAGCGGCCUCCGCCUGCCCCUGGCCACCUCUUCCCACGACGGAGCCGGCCACCUCCUCCCGCGGCCCUCCACUACCUCCCCCUACCCCUAGCGGCCUCCGCCUACCCCCGGCCGCCUCCUCCCGCGGCCCUUCGCCGCCUCCCCGCGGCCCUUCGUCGAUGCAAGUCCCUGCUGCUAUAUUGUUGCUCCAAUUUGGUGGUGAUUUUGGCGUGAUAUGGUGGUGGCCUCGCCGAUUUGGGGGAAGUGCAAGCUGCGGUGGGGAUUGGGGAAAAAGGAGGAGCUGGAGCCGUGCCGCGGGCCGGCACGAGCACGGCCAGGCCGCUAAGGCCUGUCGGGCAAGCGGCCCCGCACGGCCCGCCUAAGAAGGCAGCAGGCCGGGCCUGGGCCGCUCCUUCGUCACGUGGGCUGGCCCGGCCCAGCACGGUUACUGUGCGGGCCUAAUCAGGCUCAUGCCAGGCCGGGCCGGGCCACCUGUUUGGCCAUCUAUGACCAAGGGUACCCGCGCAGGUGGCCUCAAGAGCUCAAACUUGGGCCACGCGGUCCAACUAGCGCACAUCGGCUGGUCCACGAAUGGGGCAAGGCAGCCCGGGUGGUCCGGGAUCCGACCAUCAGCUAGGUCAAGCGCCCGAUCAGUCACCCCGGUCAACAAAUGGUUGAGUUCCGCCACGCUGCACCGCCACGCCCCGCUAGCGGAUAGGGCAAUAAACACCCCGCUGCACCGCCACGCGGUCGACGUGCGCCACGGCGUACGGGCACCUGCCCCCGCACGAUUCGAACAGGGGCGGCACCCAUACCCUAGGCGCUGACGGAGGCAACAUGUCACACCCGAUUUUAAGGACAAAAUCGAGUGCAUUAAAUACAUGUGUGCCAGGAUCAAGUUACACACAUGUACGACAAUAGUGAAUAACAAAGACAGUGCUAAAACGAAUAAAGAGAGUAUUAACCAUUAUUACAUGACCGAAAGUCUCAAGUAAACCACAAAGUCUAAUUAUUACGCAGCGGAACUCCAAAGACGACGACAACUCCACAGGCAGCUGACUGAAGAAACGUACGCCUAGAACUCCUCAAAGUCGUGUAGAUACUCCUCUUCCCAAUUAGCUUGGUCUGAACAGCGGUUUUGCAAGGGUGAGUACACUUAUGGUUGGUACUCAACAAGUCGUGGGGAAUAGUGUAGUGUAAGGCUAAUUCAAGGUAUGGCUAAGGCAUAAUUAGCAUUCGCUUUUAAUUAAGUUGGUCAAGUUUUAUUAGCAAUUAACUAAGUAUAAGUUCAUACCACCCGAAAUUAAACAUGAUCAUAAAUAAAGUAAGCAACAUAUGCGACGGCGAGCGGCGGCGGUUCGCCGGAGUUGGCCGAAACGGCGCUCCGGGGCACGGUUUGGCGCGCGGAUUUCACCAGAAGCAAGAGGAGAACACGGCGAACUCGUUUUGGGGGUCCUUGACGACCGGAGCUCACCGGAGGCGGUGCUUGACGGCGGGGAAGAGGCGGCGGCGCUUGGAGCUCGGGCGCUAGGGUUUUGGGGGCUUCGGGUGCGGGUGCUUGAGGCCGAGAGGGGCGGCGGCUUAUAUAGGGUGGAGGCUUGGAGAUAGAGCGCCCCGGGUUUAAACUCCCCGAAGGAUUCGGAGCGGGGGCCGACGGGUUUCCGGAGGCGGCGGCGCGUCGGUUGCGGGAGGGAGUUCCGGCCGGAUACGGUCGGAGGAAGGGGAUGACGGGUGGGGCCCACCCGUCAGGCCGGAGGAAGGGAGCGGUAGGCGGGCCGGCGUGACUUCGUGGGCCGGCGCGCGUGUUUGCGGGCCGCGGGGAGGAAACGAAGCGGCGGGCCGCGCGGGAAAAGGGGAAACGGUGGGCCGCGCGGGAGAAAAAGAAAGGGGGCCGGCGGAGCUGCUUCGCGGGCCGGUGGGGAUGUUGCGGCUGGGCCGAAAGAAGAAAGGGGAAGGGAACGAAUGGAAGAUGCGGCCCAGAAAGGAGAAGAAGAAAAAGAAAAAGAAAGAGGAAAAGAAAAGGUUUUGGAAAUUGAAUUUAAAUUUGGAAAUUCAAAUUUUGAUUCAAACUCAAGCAAUCAAAAUAAAUGCACCAGCAUGAAUGCACAAUUAACUCCUAUGAUGAAUUUAAUUAAAUUAAAGAAAAUGAAUUUAAAUGCCUAGAAUUUAAAUGACACCCUAAUUUGAGCAAAUUUUAAUGAAUUUGAAUUAUUCAAAAUUUUGGGUGUUACACAACAGUCGACGAGGACAGCCACGUUGUGCGCGGGGACGAGGCGUUGCACUACCUGCCCUGUUGACCUGAACCGAUCACUACGACCACCGUAUCCAACCCUCCCGACCUCGGGAGCUAGUGACCGACACUGGCGUGGGGUCGGAGUACCGAUCCGACCACCUCACGACCUGCCACCUACUCUGAUGGGAUGCUACAGGCGCCAGCACACUUGCCGCACGCCACCCUCUACAACGGGGCUUGGCAGAUAGGACUAAGGGCAGUCCCAAUGGAACAUUGAUGAUAGUUUCUAUCCCUCUUAAUUGUCAUGCCAACUAAGCAAUUUGCUGAUGUGGCAGUAGAUUUAUUAUGGAGAGAGAGAAACCAUUUCUUGGAGAGGAAACCAAGUCCUCACGCAUACUGAUAGGUCAAGAAACCAAUGAAUAUGCAUUGGGGAGACCAAGUAGUUUCUUCUUGCUUACCGUCGGAUCCUUUGUGCUUGCACCGCUUCUACCCAUCACUCGAGCUCCUUUACAUAAUGUAUAGAGGAUCUGGUACUAGAAGGGAGAAUGAUUGGUUGGAUUUUUGUUUAGACUCUAGAUAAAAAAAUUGCAUUAUGAAGGAUGAUUUCUUGAUACAAUAUCCUAGACUCUGGAAACUACGAUGGUUUCUCCCAUUGGGAGUGCCCUAAGGGCAAGUGCUGCCUUAGUAGACAGUCAUGCAACAUGUAAUUAUGAGAUGAUUUAACAAACAACUUGUAUAAUAGGUUAUCUUUUUAAGUUGUCUCAUAAUAAUUCCAUUCCCUUAAUUUGUGCAUGAAAAAAAGAAAUAUUAUUAGUUGCAUACCAAUCACAAUUUGUACAAUGGUAGAGUACUCGUCUCGUAGUCCUAAAAUCAACAUCUUUCUCUCUUAUCACCUUCUCUUCACAUCAGUAAAAAUCCUACAUGACAUUGCAUAAAACGACUUAUGAGACUACCUAGCAGCAGCAUGUACUGCCCUAAUGCGGCCAUAGGCGGCGCAGGACGGCCACGAUACAAGGAUGAGCCAACGGGACUCCCGAUACGAUGGAACGGCGAUGCCCCGACUAGGACCCAGGAGAGCUCCACCAAUGGGCCCCGCAGGACCGACAGACCUGAGGGACCCCUCCUUCUUUCUUGUACCCGGCCCCCGAAGACAUAUAAGGGGAGCUGGGCCAUUCUUCACGGCACGUACGCAUUCCAUUCCCCAACUGCACACUCACUCCCUCACGAGCACCCCCUCUGAGCACACGGCUUGAGGAACACGAACUCACCUCCAAACUGGACGUCGACCAGGGGCACACCAACCUAGAACUCCAAGUCUUCAUGAGUGGCUCCUCCAAGUUUCCUCGUAGCAGCUCCUGUAUGGCACUAUCUGAGCAGCAACAGGAGGGCACAGCAAGGGGGUUGAAAGGAAAAAGGUGAGUACACUUGGAGGCGUGUACUCCGCAAGUGGACUACAAAGCUCAUUUUUUAAUGUUUGUCAAGUUUUAAUUAAGCACCUAGAACCAUUAGUGUGAUAAGCUUCCAAAAAACCCAACAAGGCACAUGUUACCCCACCUGUCCUGAACCUAAGGUCAAUGUCUCAUCAUCCAAACCCAACUCCCAAACCACAGACACCAUCUGUGAUUCUCUCAAUCCAACUAACCAUGUGAGGGUCCAUACCACUCUUGACCAUGAGCACAACUGUUAUAACAAUUUUUAACACUUUGCAGAGGUUGUACAACUUUACCCACGAGUCAUGAUACCCAUCAUGACGAGGCGGCCAAACCUCUUACACAUUACCGAGAUGUGUUGGCAUGUGUUCACUACGACGCCUUCCAUUGGUUCUCCAGCGCGCAUUGACCCAUCAAGGCUCUUAACCAUCACUGCGUCGAGCCAUGAUUUAUGGGACGCUGCCCUAGUCGGCGCCUACCCGCUCAACAUAGAUCGUUGGAUUACCCAACUUACUCAGCCAAGACCAUAGCCCAUAUAAUUCUCAUGGUUGUAUGAUUAAGUUAGCAAGGGGUUUUAUGACAUCAUCAUGAAUUUUUAGGAAAUGAAAAUAUAUAAAUUGGAAUUUUUGUGAGUUUUUUUGGUGAUGACGUCAGCAAGGACCUAGGUGCAAUUAUCGAUAGACAAUAGGGGGUAGCUGGUAAGUAUUCCUACGACUCAAAGAAAUUUUAGAUUAAUUUCAUAGAUCUUCAGGGGCUAGAUCAUAAGAUUGCCAGGCAAAUCUGACUGUGGUCAAGAUUGCAUGUUGGCCGUUGGAUUUGAUAUGGAUGGUCGGAUUUUAAUGACCAAAGAGGUACCCCUUGUUUUAAUCAUGGCCAUUCAUAUGGGAUCGAGCGGCCUGGGGCGUGCUGCCGGUUCUGGGCCUGGUGCCGCUCGCACAGGAGCCCCGACAAUGGAGUUUUGCCAGAUUACGGAACGACAGCUCUACAACCCACAAGGGACGACGAGACGUGGCGCGCUCGAGAGAGGAGGACACGGCGAGCUUACCAGGGGUAGGGCAAGGAUAAAUCCAUGGCAUGUAAGGUGUACAGCGGAGAGGGACGGAGGAGGUCGGAGCCGUGAGUGAGGGCGGCAUGGCAGCCUUGGUCUGGUGCUCCUGGGCGCUGGAAUUGCAUCGUUGGGAGUCCCAUGACACCGAGAGAGGGAGGAGGAAGUGAGAGCUAGUUCGACUACGGCAAAAGGCAGUGGCAGAGCUCGCUUACCGAGCUUCGGCCAUGGCGGCGUUGGUGAGCAAAUGGUGCUGGGAGAAGGCACGAUAAACGGUGGGGCGAUGUUGGAGAGGCAAAAAGGAGGGAGAUGGAGCUCGGCACAAGAUUUAUUGGGGAAGAAUUGCUUGGAGAAGGACGGAUGGGAGGCAAGAAGAGGAGAUCAAGAGUAGGGGUCUCAGUCUUGAUGGCCUUGAUGGCACUUGUUGCCAUUAAAGGAGGAGAGGAGUAACGGGCGGAAGAAGGGAGGGAGGGGGAAGCGGGGAUUGCGGCAUGGGGCUGGGCGGGGGCGAGGAGGUGUGGUACUACGGGAUUUUGAUGGGGCGAUGGUGUUCGGUGUGGGAAAAAGGGCAGGUGAGGGAGGAGGAAGACGGAGCUGAUAGGUGAGCCCCGCGUUGAAGGGAGAGAAGGGAGAGAGAGUGGGGGAGGGGGCUGGGCUGCUGAUGGGCUACGGCCCAUGCGAGAGAAGCGGAGGGGAAGCAGGUGGAAAGGCUAGCUAAGGAAGGGGGUAGAGGGGGAAGGGAACUGUGCUCGGCCCAACAAGGGAAGGUAGAGGAGAAGGGGGUAGGGGGGAGCGGAGAGGGAAGUUGGGUUGUGGCCUAGUUCGGGAGAAUGGAAAAGAAAAAGAAAACGAACGGGGGAGGGGAGGUGGGCUUGGCCUGUGAGAAGAUAAGGGAGGGGAGGCGGGUUGGGCUGAAGUAAAAGGGAGAAGGGGAGGGGUGGAAAUGGGAUUUAGGCCUCGUAUUAAAAGGGAAUUUGGCCCAAAAUAUUUUCUCAAAAUGGAACCUAGUGCAUAAAAAUAUUUUCAAACAAAACCCUAUGCAUUUCCAGCAUGAAUGCAACACACAAAACUGCAACACACAAGAAGAUAGCAAGUGAUUCUAUAGAAUUCAUAUGAAGAGAUGAUUGGAGACCAUAAGUACUCACUAACAAAUCAUGCAGCUUGUAAAAUAGUAAUGUAUUCAUUCUGAACAUCUUAUGGCUUUCACUAGGAGUAUUGAGUUUUUCCAUUGUCCAACCAAAUCCACUCUGUGUUGGAGUUCUUGCAUCAUUUUUAUCAUGAUAGGUCAUAAAGUACUUGGAAACAAACAGACUAUUCUGAUUUGACUUUAUCAAUAUCAUAGUAUUUAUAGCCCACUGAUCCUUGUCUGAACCACUGUCAUCCAUUUUAACAUCAGAAGAAUCAGAUCUGUACACCAUACAAACAACACUCAUGAAUAAGGAAUUAUUUGAUUGCACAUAAAUUAUUCAUGCAGGAAUAAUGGAAAGUCACACACAUUAUUCAUACAUAACUAAUGAAAACUCACACAACAUACUGAUACAGGAACACUGGUUCAUGCUCCAAGCCAAAUUGGAAGGUAAUUAAUAUGAAUGAAAUGCAAUAUCUACUCAGGCAUAUCAUUUUUAGUCAUCCACUCAUGCUUUCUCUUCAACCAGUCAAAUCUUUCCUCCGGAGUGUCCAAAGUCAUAAACAUUUCUCUUUCAGCUCUCUCGGUAAAAACUAGAGAUGCAACAAAAUUCUCAUUGUGGAUGGAACAGCACCAAAAUAGAGCCACAAUUGAAACAUAGAUGACACUCACUUUUGUUGUGUUCCUCCCCCAAGCCUCAGUCAUUUCAAUAUUCUGUUUGCUUUCAUCCCAUCCUAUACCUAUCUCACAAUGUUUCAGUUCUUCCUAAUACCAUAAUCAGUUUUUAAUUUAUCAUAUUUGUUCUUGAAUUAUUUUCUAGUGUACAGAAUAUCAGUCCUCUCUUUGAACCUUUCUAUCACAUUCUUGUACCCAGUCUUACUCAAAUGUGUGUUUGAAUGAUGUCCUUUGUCAACUUUAUCUGCAAAAAUCUCACACACUAUUCUAGUGUUCUCAUCACAACAAUCAGCCAAGUUGUUACCAACAAAAUCAAUUUCAUGGACAAAACAUAUUAGAACAGGAGAACUAGACCAAAAGAAGUUUUUGAUCAUUAGCCAUACACACAAGUCAUGAGAAGCAACAAACAAACAACUACUGAACUAAUAACAAACAACGAUGGACAGAUUGGCCGUGCUAUCACCGGAUCCGCCAGUUACCCCAUCCGGGCCAUCAGUAGCUUCUAGUGCCGGCCAACCUUCCAUCUACCACCGCCGUGCUUUUUCCCGUGAGAAAGAGAGAGACGAGGGAACGAGAGAAGGGAACAGAGAGGGGAUUGAGAGGCUUUGGGUUAUCCAUUCAGGAGCAAUGGCAAUUUUGUUGUAAAUAAAUACAACAAAGUUCAGGGGCGCUUUGGUCCUUUUUCACGGGGCCGAGGAGGGAGCCACGCAGAGCCACUUUUUUUGUUUGGCUUCAUGCCUUCAACACAAAUCGCAAAACAGCUUCUUCGGCUUCGGCUUUGCCUUCGGAGCUGUUUUUUUACCCCCGUUUGGUAUGCCUUCAGCGAAAGUCUACAAAGGAGCCGCUGCAUAAGCCGUGCCAAAGAGAGGCCCUAAUCUACCACAUUUAUCACCUGCACUGGCUCCACCUUCAACAAGAUAAAUUUAUUCAUCACUAGGUUUAUAGCUGUGCAUUGCCACGGGAGCCUAAAAAUUUUAACGCAAUAAAAAAAAUUAUUACAGGUGUUAUAAUAAUACUUCAAUAAAAUCUGCACAAGGCUGCCAGUGACAACGCAGAGCGGCGGGUGAAAAGUUUCUUGUCCAACCGAACAAAAUGGAAUACCAAGCAUAAUAAGUGAAAGCGGCCAUAAAUUGAUAUGCCAAGAAACAAACUUGGUUAACACAAAUGGAUGGAAACUAAAAUAGAAAAUCUUGAGAACUACACACAUGGAACUUGUGCAACAUUCUUCCUCUUUUCUAGGGUCUACAUAUAAUCUCUCCAACAAGUUACGGUAGCAGCUCUUGAGAUUCAUCGAGUCCUGUCAAUUGAAUUUCAAAACUUAGUGAAACGACUUCACCAGAAAUUGGAAACAAAUGACCAGAAAUAACCAAAAAAGUAAAAGUAUUGCUAUUUUUGCUGCCUAAACCAUGAUAUGAACUUUAUUAAUUGUCUUACAACUAUAGCAUUUUGCAACUGCCUAACCAGCAAAAGAGAUUGACAGAUUGUACCUGAUGGGAAAAGGGAUCGAUGGACAAACUCUGCCUCAAAAGAACAAUACCGAGUGUGCUGCUAAUUAGCAAACUUUGCAUUUUCAAAGUAUGUUAGAUCAAUACAUAAGUUUCUCAAAAGUAAGGUAUAAGUAUAUUAGUCACACUCCAUCAUGUAUUGAAACAACUGAGAGAGGUCAGAUAGUAAACCAGAUAUAGAUUCUGACAUUCUAUAUGUUCAGGAUAUUAUUGAACUUUUAGAAACUAAUAUGUGCAGGAAUAUGCAGUUAGGAGUAGAUAUUAUAUAAAACUAAAUAUAUUAUUUCUGACAGAGAGAACAUAAUGGCGUGCAAGCUUCGGGUGGAAACAAGUUUCUGCAGGGAGUGCCAGGAAGAGGAAAAUAAUCAAGGUUGGAGAGAGAGCCCCUGAUUCUGCAGGAAGCCCUGAAUGAUGGAUAUUUUCACAGAUAUAUGUUUUGUGCUCCGCAUAUGUUUUGGUGCCCAAACAAGCUGCAUGAGCAAAUUAUUGAUUGGUUCUUUUCUAAAAUCUAUGAACAAUCUAUGCAUUCGGACAGAAAGCAAAAUAAUUCACAUGCGCGAGAUUGAUUGAUUUCUAGAUGUUCAGAACUAAAGAAAUGAUCAGCACCAAGAUAAACUCAUGGUCAAUGUGAUCUUCCAGCAGGACCGAAAUAUAUGGACACCAGGGGUCUUCAGUUAUUGAUACCGAGCUAUGAGACCUAAUAUUAUAAAGUAAGCAUUUGAAUUAAAUUAAAACCAACAGUGGGAAGGCCUGCAGCUUACAUGCAAAAAUGAGACUUCACUAAUGAAUAAAUAGUAGUGCUAGCUAGGCACAUUCUUCACUUUAAGAACAGUGCUUGCCAAGAAGCCCUGUAAACAAACAAGCUACAUCUGCCAAUAAUCAGUUUUCCAUUGUAAGAAGAGUAACUCACAUGGAAACAAAUAUUCAGAGAAGUAAAACUGAAACAACAAAAUAGCCUUUACAUGGUCCCAGUGUAAGUACAGGCAACAUAUUGUAUGUAGCGCCUGUUCCAUAUGCCAUUCCUCCUCAUCUUCCUUUGUGAGAGGCCAAAAAUGUUCCGAAGACAUUGGUGCUUCAAAUAACUUCACAUUCACAGAAUUUUUUCUUGCAUUACUAAAGUGGAUAUCAUGGAUAAACCUAUAAAAUUUAAUCAGUAGUCUUACCCUUAUCACAUACAAGAUCAUAUUGACCAGCGAUGCUCGAGGCUCACCAGCAGAAAACCAUCACAUCCUCUGGAUCUUUGAUCAGCGCAGGGUGGAUUGGCGAUCGGACAGCUGGCGGUAGAUGGGCGGCGCUCGGUGGUGGAAACUGUGGCACGCGGCGCCAGAGCGGGGCUGCCUCACCGGAGCGAGCUUGAUCUCAAUCUAGAAGGCUCAAAUUGCGACACGGUGAGGCCCUGGAUCCAGCUGGAAGGCUUGUGAGCACAUCUAGGGUGUUGAGGGCCUCGAUUGCGUGGUGAAGACGGGGCGCGGCUCGGUGAAGCAGCUCGGCGUGGCGGCGGCAACUCCGACGAGGUCGUGCACGCGGAAGAAGGCAUGGGGGCGUACGGGAUCUUCACGGGUAGCUUCCUCACCUCCUCGCAGUGCUUCGGGCAAUAAUCCGAUCAUGAAGGCGGUGGCGAUGGAGAUCGAAGGUGGCGGCACUUGGAUAGGGUUGUGGGCGCGAGGGCGGCUCCGGGGCUCGAGGGUGUGGGGUUUAGGGUUUGGUAAGGGCUGCGGAGGCGGCGGCGGGUUUUAUAGGCCCGGGGAGGUGUCCUUGGCGUGCGGGCCCAAGGUCGGAGGCGACCGGGACUCGAGCUAUCCGGCUCGAUGCGGCGCAGCGGAAGGGAUGAUGGGUGGGGGCCACCCGUCAGCGAGACGCGGGCGGGGCCGGUGCAGGAACGGGUCGGCGUGGAGGAGGUGUUGAUGGGCCGGCCUGCUGGGCUGACUCCUGCGGUACUGCUGCUGUAGAGCCGGGCCGAAAGGAGGAACGGGUCAAAAGAGAGGAGAAAAGAGAAAGAAAGAGAAAGGUUUUCCUAUUAUUUAAAAGGGAUCAAACAAAUGAAUUCAAAUACAAAUUUGAAUCCAAACACCCAAAACUAAUGCACCAGCAUGAAUGCAAUAAACCCCUAUGAUUUAUUGACUUAUUUUUAAAAGAAAUUUAAAUGCCUAAUAAUUUAAUCUGCAACCUUAGAAAACCUUAAAUCCUUAAACAUAAGCAAUUAAUUUCUAGAAAAUUCUAACAAAAGGCUGAAAAUUAGGGUGUUACAAUCUUACGGCUAAUCCACCGAAUCAUGCUAGCUGAAGAGACAGUAAUGUUUGACGUGGCAAGCUGAUCAUCGUGGCAACUAGUACCAGCGAGGUGAAUUGUCACCGUCAGCCAACCAAGCUGCAGUCAAGGCAGAAUGGCCCACGGCCGACUGAAAUCAAGCAUCAUGUGGAUCCAACCGGCCGACCACACGAAGAAAUCAGCUGCAUGCAGCCUCUGCAUCCUGCAAGCGGUUUCCAAGGACCUGACCAGUCGUCGAUCUCCCACUUGCACGCGCACAGUGACCACAUACAUGUGCUCUCCUACAUCGCCCGCCAUCCUUGACUAAUAAUCAUAUCCUACUACUAGCUGAUGAUGAUAUAUAAAGCCAGUGUACGUGAACGUUCGUGUUCACGACAUCCAUCGAUAGCUCGACACAGCACAUCGAUCCACAGCCAUGGCAAAGGUUACCAGCCUCGCCCUACUCGUCCUCGCCGUCGCCGCGGUGUCCAUUCCCGCGCCCGCCGGCGCCGCCGGCGCGGGCAACGCCGCGCUCAAGAGGGCCGCCGAUUUCCUCGAGAAGUGGAAGAAACGGAUCGAGGACGCCAAGGACAGAUUCGAGGCCAUCGACAAGGCCACGGACGGCGAGCUGCUUCCUCGCGGUAACGACGCGGCGGCGGGGUUGUUGCCGAACGCCGUCGCCGUCGACGUCGUCAAGGCCGGGGGCGUGAACUUCUCCGUGGGCGGGGUCGACGUCACCAGCCGGGUCACUUGGACAAGCCGGUGCGGCGGCGACAGCAGCAGCCAGCAGGUGGCGUGCGGCGACCCGCUGUGCGAGAAGUACGGCGCGUGCGACGGCGGGGAUGCCCCGUCGGCGGCGGGACGGGUCUGCAACAGCGCAGCUCCGGCUGGCGUCCCGCUCCGCAAGGGCAAUAUCACCCUGUUCGGUGCCAAGAGCAAGGGAAUCUUUUCUAACAACACGGCGUACAACACGGCGUACGCGUGCCGGCCAGACGCCUCCGGCGACUACUACGCCGUCAUCGGACUCGGCAGGGGCAACAACAUCCUCGCCAGCUUCCCAAAGGAGUGGCCGCUCUUCUCCUACAUCAUCGAUGGCGAUCUUCAAGGCAGCACGGUCUGGCUUGCCCACAACGCGUUCUUGGCCCGGAGAGCGACGGCGGCGCGAGCCGGUAGCAGGAGCAUCACCCUAUUCGGCCCCGUCGGCUCCAACAAUAGCACCUACUCCGUCAAGGUCACCGGCAUCAAGGUCGGCGGCGGCGAGGUCGCCAGCGAGGCGGCCACCGGAAUCUUGAUGACCACCAUGCCGUUCACGUUCCUCAAUUCGUCUCUCUUCGACCACCUCAAGCAGGAGCUCAAGGCGGUGGCGUCACCGGUCAAUGGCUCCGACUUCGACGCCCGAUUCGGGCAGCUGUGCUACCCGAAAGGCACGAAGUUACCGGCGAUCACGCUGUUGUUCGUCGGCGAGAACGCCGGGAUGGAGCUGCAGCCGGAGCACUACUCGUACAAGAAGAGCAACGGGGUCGUGUGCCUGUCCAUCCUGAAGUCGCCGUGGUCCAACGGCUUGUCGGUCAUCGGCAGCAUGGUGCAGGCGGGCAGGCAGAUGACCUACAAACUGGACGACAACACGUUGACGUUCGACGACCCCGCGUCGGCGUCCUCCAAGCCGUCGCCGUCUACUUCUUCGUCGGUGGCCCAGGCGCCGUUGACGCCCUUCUGUCUGUCUCCUGCUUUCGCGGUGCUGCUGCUCGCCAUCAUCAUGUGAAGCUAAUUAUUAGUAAGAGGGAGACCCGGAUUGGCCAGCCGGCGACCAUGAUUCAAACCCCGCGGUGCCACUGUCACCACUAGUAAUAUUGUUGUACUGAUAUGCUUUCUACUCAGAUGUCGUUGUCGACAUUUUGUUUUAAAAUACUGCCAUGCAAAUGUCUUUUUUGAAGUAAAAAAAAGAGUCAUGCAAAUCUCAAAUAGCAGAAGUGAAAAGAUAAACGUUUUUUCUAUUCUAUCUCUUAUAUAAAUUUUAUUUUAAAAUAUCCAAAUAUACAAGUAUAUAUGGUGCAAAGGGAUUAAUUUGUAUAGUACGUAGAUCCAUUUAUCUAAUUUUUAUCCAGCUGACCAGCUCAAAGCGGCUUUCACUACUGGUCCUCUCGGACCUCUCCACCAGACCUCCACCCAACCAUCUUUUUUUUUAAGACUAAUUGAGGCCAAAAGCUAUUUCCCUGUCAAGCUGGCAACUGUUCGAGUCGGGGCGACGAGCAAGUUGCUAGCACGAGGACGACACAGGGUUCAGGGUUGGCUUGGAAAUUAGCGAGGGGGCGAGGGAUCUGCUCGCAGCCUCGCACGCGCGUCAUGGGCGCGACCCCGCAGGAACUGAACCUGGGCAAGUGUGCACGCGUUUCGACUUUGGGUCGUCUGCAUCAGAACGGCAACCGGAAGCUAUUCCAGUUUGCCCCUCGUCUGAAGAUGCUGGACGCAGAGGUAAACCGGAACAAUCUUUGACUGCUUUAUCCGGAAACCUUUAUCCGGGCUUUUUGGGGUGGCAGCAUCUCAGUCCAAUCAAAGCGUUUCGCUGUCCAUGCGUUCCUUUGUGUUUUGAUUACUUUCGCUCCGCUGCCUGUAGAGAAUUUUUAGACAUGCGCUUUCCCACGGUUCGGCAAUGCAAAGCUCGCCAAUGUUCUUGGAAGUUUGCACAGUCUAAACCCUUUUCUCGACGAAGAAGCACUGGUCCCUAUCGCGUUGAACUGGCCGGCCACGUCGCAUCCUUGGACUCGCUGAUCACACGCCACAGUCCGUGUACGCAUUGGAUCGACUGUUGGGUGAUUGGGCGGUCGCAGAGAGAGACUUUCAUCAACGCACAGCGCACAGUCGAAGAGCUCAUCUACAUCUAGAUCGCGCUCUGGUCCUGUCUGAGCAGUGCCGAACGAGCUCCGCGUAGUGCGUACGUAACAGGUGUGUGGCGAUCCUGGCCUCACGUUGACAGGACGGGCGAAAGGUCGUCGUCGGCGAGCUGAUGUGAGGGCAUGGGCGGACCAGGAAAGGGACCUCUGUGCAAGGGGCAGAAAGGAGGCGCUGUUCCUGUCGAAAGCAGCAAGCCAGCAAGCACCUCGGCGUCGCAGCUUGCGAGCAUCCGGAAACUGACGAGAUGGGCUUGCUGUGCUGGCUCUUCGUACGUGGACUCAUGUACAUGACCGGACAAUAACAUGGGUCCAGCUCGCUGUAGGUCCCAACUGAGAAAUAGGGCAACUCAAACAAGAAAAACAUCUGUUUACCAGAAGCACCAGCACUCAUUUACUUCUAGUUCGUGCCUAUUGUCCUUUUGGUCCUCUUUUUCUUGAGGAAAAUGACAUGAUUUUUUUUUUGAAAUUACGGGACUUUAGAUCAUUUCUGGUGCAACACGGUGAAGUGAUUAAUGUGGGGUUCACUGAUACUAUAGCUAGAAAAAAAAACAAAACACACACACACAAGCGACAUCUGUGUUAGUGGCAAGAUUUAAAAAAAAAAACAGGAGAAUUUAACAAGCAACAUGGUUGAAGCGAUGAAUGAUCAUACCCUAACUUUUUUUCCCUCGAAUACCCAGAAGACGGCACAUCAUUGCAUUAAAAAGAAUAUAUAGAGCACAAAACACACACACAACACACCACUAAAGAAAACAAAAAUGACCCGUGACUUCUCCCUUUAAAGUUAAACCUCGACUAUGGCUGUGCCAACCAUGGGACCAGCCAUGACUCAAAGUUGGACCUCAUCCUUAAUAAUCUGAACGACCCUUUGCAAGCGGUGAUACCCGAUGUUUCCAAAAUAUCCGAGCCCCCAAGGAGUUCAAACCAGCCUUCGUAGAACUUGCCACUAACUUAAUAGCUCCAGACCACCGAUCAAAGAACUGCAUGAUGUAGGGGUGACAGGUCGGGGAGACCAAACAGUAUAAACAAGACUGACCAGACUUCUCUUGAGGAGAUACAGGAGACUAUGAUGCGGUGGAUUAUCCCAUCUUCCUGGUCAGAGAGCAGGCAACGCUCUGGAUGUGGUAGUUCCCAUCGUGCUAGGCAGUCAGCAGUCCAACAUUGACUAUGGGCUACUAACUAGAGGAAGAAUUGGCUGUAAUGAUCAUGACUAGUAACGAUAAUAAGUAACCAUCAUCACGCAAACUCCAAAAGCCACAUAUCAAGACAUGUAUCUGUAUCCGGUAUCCGGUGCAUGGUGGAUGCAUCACGGAUACAUAAGUAUUGGGAAAACAAAGAUUUUAAUUGCUGACACAUAUUCGACACUUGCUUGGUGGAUACUUCAUGGAUAAAGCCCCGCCGCCUAGCCACAACCUAAAACUUAACGACAAUAAGACUAAGGGGGCUGUUUCUUUAACCCUGUCACACGUCGGAUGUUCGGAUGCUAAUUAGGAGAACUAAACAUAAACUACUUAUAAAACUAAUUGCAUAACCUCUAAACUAAUUCGCAAGAUGAAUCUAUUAAGCCUAAUUAAUCUAUCAUUAACAAAUGGUUACUGUAGCACCACAUUAUCAAAUCAUGGACUAAUUAGGCUUAAUAGAUUCGUCUCACGAAUUAACCUCCAUUUAUGUAAUUAGUUUUAUAAUUAGAUUAUAUUUAAUACUCCUAAUUAGUAUGUGACAGGGGCUUAAGUUAGCCCAUGUGAGCCAAACAGGUCCUAACACCGCACCCCUUGGAACUCACAGAAGCCAGACCAGACCACCGCACGCUUCCCCUUACUGUUGGGUGACCACCUACCGGCCCCGAUUCAUCUGUGAGUACAUCCAGUCAUCCCCAUUUAUUAAGAUAGAGAACAAGUGCAAAUUCUUCGCUUGGCAAUGAUAAAAAAAAAUUCCCAAAGCAGGCAUUCUAAAUGUCAAGGGAUGGCCUCAUCAGCCGCAUUGCCCACUUUGCCAUAGCCGUCCAGAGACCAACUUUCGCUACUAUGCCCUUUCGCCAAAGUUUGUAUGGGAAACAGUAGCCAUGGCCCGAUGGGGGCCUUUGGUGAAUUAGAGACGCUUGGCUGUUUUGGCUCAUUAAAAUGAAAGCUUUGGAAAAGAGAAAAAUGGCCUAAUCACAAGCUAAUUUUUUUAUUCAUACUAUGCUUUAGUAUUCGCAUUUCAAAAAAAUACCAAAACAUAUCUGUGUCUUGGAUAUUUCUGGAAAAUAGUGUAUCCGUGUAUCCAUAUCUUCGCUGCAUAGGAUGACAGUUUGCAUGAUAAUUUAAUGACGUCGGAUUUUAAAUAGCCCAGCUUGACUCACCUUCUGAAUAACUUGUAGAGGAUAUGGAAAGCUCCUGAUUCUUGUCCCUCUCCCCACUUGAGCUACCUAAAAUAUAAAAAAAAGGAAAGAAGAAUAAACAUAACUCAAACAAUGGAAUGCGCUAUCAAGAGCAUUAGCAGUAGAUUCUCAUACACAACCAUGUAUUUACAAUGAACCAAUUUCGACAAAACGUUAUUACUCGUGUGCGUGUAGGCACAAUUACGCGUGAAACAGAGGCCUAGUGCUUUGUUUAGGCCCUAGGCGGUAAAUUAAUAGCGCAAGCGGGCACAAGCACAGGCACACGUUCUGGAGAGGCGGGGAGAAAGAGUGCAGGAGACGUGGGGAGAAGAGUGCGGGGGCAUGGGCGAUGGAUAACCGAAAAGAGUUGCUCGGCGCACAGAAAGAAUUACGGUAAUGGCAUGGCUCGACGCGUCAGACGCUUAUCACUAAAAAUAUCUGGCACGGAUCCUACAAACACCUUCUCUCUUUCCACCUUAUCCUUUCUCUCCUACAAUUCUUCCUUAUCCUUUCAUCUAGGGAAAAAUCACCCGCACCACUCACUCUCUCUGCCGCGCAGUUCAUGCGGGCAUGGGCGCGCUGCGGGGCCGCGCCGGCAGGCAUGGGCGCGCGAGGCCAGCGACGGCAGCGGUGCGUGGUGGUGAGGCCAACGGCGGCACCUACUGGCGAUGCGGGCACAGGUUGCGGCGGCGGUCGGCAGGCGUGGGGCUGGGAAAGAAUCCAUGGUAGCUGCUAUCGUACUCUAGGAGGAGGAAGAUUCCACCGCGGCCAGGGGCGAGCCGCGCCGGCCGCCGCCAUCCUCCUCCUCCUCCACCACCGUUUCCUAGGAUCCUGGUGUGCAGUGCUUCUCGUGCCAGGGUUUGCUGCAUGUUGCAAGCGUAUGUUUCAAGUGUUUUAGAUGUUUCAGAAGAAUGUUGCAAGUGUUUCAUGUGGAUGUUGCAAAGUAGAUCUAGAUGUUGCGAUAUUGUACAUGUUUCACACACAUGUUGCAAGUGUUUUAUCUGAAUGUUGCAUUUUCAAUGAGAGAUUUAAAUGUUCCAUGCAACACGAAACAGAUGUUGCAGCGGGUUUUUUUCCUCAUCAUCAACAGAUGGCUAAUAAAUUUUUUUCAACAUAUUUUUUGAUAUUGCAAAUGGUGGUUUUAUAUGUUGCAAAUAUUUAUUUUUUAUGUUGUAGACAUUAUUUUUUGAUGUUGUGAUGGACCAACGGAGCGUCCGAUAGACAUCCGGGCACAAGCAACGCCCAAACAAUUACCGCGUCACGUCGCGCCACUGCAUCUGCGCGUGGGAACCCCGUCACGGUGCAGAUAAGAUAAGAUCCAAAUGUUGAGUAAUCAUCAGCAUGGGAGUUAUUUGUUUUUGUUUUAUUUUUGUGCACAAGUAACUCGUAAAAUUGUAAACUAUUUUUAUACGUUUAGGAGUGAUUCUGCAGCACAUAGGUAUACAUGUAACAGAGUAAGACAAGACAAUCUAGUAAAAAACUUGGAACAUCAACAUGGUGCUCCAAAAAUCUGCACUAGCAAAAGAAAAACUAGCCCUUUAGUUUAAAUGAAUAAGACCUGAAAAGUUCAUAUAUAAGAUAAAUAAGGUGAUUUGAACUGGAGGUACGGACGAUACCAAUUUACAAUGUGGGCAAUGAUGAAAGCAAGUUCAGAAUAACUAUUUAUCUACUAAACGUAGCAACGUCAUGGUAAUGUAUAAAUUUGCAGCAGAUUAAAAGGCCAACUAGACACCCAUAAUCCAACCAGAUCUAUAACCCUGAAAGCUAUAUAGAUGAGCAGAAUAGUUACUAAUGAUACACUAGCUCACAAAAGAAGCCCAAGGUAGAAACAACACAAGAAAAGUACAGAUUGGCUCCAGCGCAUUUCAAGCAAAAGUACAGUAUGCAGCAAUGAAAUGGUCAGCCAUAUAAUUAGGCAAUUAGCAAUAACAGUGCCCCCAGACCUUAGCAAUGUCUUGAUCAGUACAACUAGCAAUGUGUCACAAUGACAUUGUCAGCAACAAGCCAGUAUAUCAUUUGCAAUCGCAAAGAAGCAUCACUGACAUGGGGCAUCGCACAUGGCAAUCACAUAUCAACUUAUGUGUGUUUUUUUGUUCCUUUCUUGCUUGCUGUGCAGAUAGAGAGGGGAUGCCAAGAUAGGGAUGAAUGACUCAGGACAGGGAGUGUCGUUUAGCAGGGGCGGACCCAGUAUAGGACAUGGGUGUACAUGUGUACACCCAAUAACUGUUGCAGAAAGAUUGAAUUUAGUAGGUAAAAUCAUGGUCAGAUCCGAAUACAAAUACCAUACGUUAGGGGUUUGGGUGUUUGAUUUCGCGCAGCAGGAUGGGAAGGGAGGGGAAUAGGCAGGCAUACCCCUGUCGGAUGUUCGUCACUGGCGAAGCGCCCGUCGCUCAACGAACAACGGACAGCGCAACUCACCCUGUCGUCGCCGCUAGGAAAGGAAGACCGAGGCCGAGAGAGAGAACAGAGAAGUCGUGGGAAGGGAGGUGUGAUGACUCUAGACUACGCGGCGGCACGCCAGCGAGCUUUGGUCGGAGAAUCGCCGCUGCUGGCGGGGCUUGGGGAAGAAGAUGAGCGGGAAGGGUUAGGUUUUGGUACUUGAUCUAUUCAUUCAUGCCCCUUCCCUACAUGGGGUUGGGUUAUGCCACAGGCCGGCGUGGUGGCCCAAUGGGCUUAGCCCAGUUCUUGACAUGGCCUCUGGCCCGAGCAUUACAAAGGAUACUUAGCCCAGUUCAUGUGACCCUUUAGCCGGAAAACCUAUACGUCUUCCACAAGAUUUUUUCCAAAGAAACUUCCACUUUAAUAUUCGUAUGAGAAUAUGAUCUAACACUUGCUGAUCUUCUUCUUCUCCUCUGCUAUAGGAUGAGGUUGGCCUGGCAGCGGCGGCGGUUCGACCGUGGCGGUGAUGCGACGCUUGGGUGGUGGUCGAGGCCAGCGGCGGCGGCGGUAGUGGUGGAGUUAGGGUUAGGUUUCAGAGUUUCCGGGGAGCUCCAGUGUCCGCCAGGCUUAAAGGAGGAGGUCGGGGGGAGGGGCGGCAAGUCUGGUGGUGGCGACGGUUGGGCCGAUUGCGGAGGCUCGCGCCGCCAGCCGAGCAGGGCAGGAAGUCCGGCGGGCGGUGGACGACAAACUUCGGAUUAGGAAUGGUGGGGUGGGGGUGGCGGUGGAGGGUGGGCGAACAGCGCGGCGGCGUGGCAGCCGCCGGCCGAGGUGGAGGACGAGGUGGCGGCAAAUGUGGGGAGCGUGGGGAAGAAGAUGAGGAAGGGGAGAAGAUGGGCCUCGAUGGGCCAAAAUUUUCAUCCCUUAUCUACCUUCCAGAAGGUAGAUAGGAGCCCUCCUAGCCCUGACACGAGGGUGUUGCCGCACCAGCCGGACUCGAGUUGCAGCUGGGCAGGGGAGCGUGGAGGGCGGUGCACGGGACGAUAGCGUGGAGAGUGGCAGGCACUGGGGGAGCAAAGGGAGAGAUGGGUCGCGGGGAGGAAGAAAACUGCAGCAGACGCUGUCGCGCGGGCCGAACCGGUUCGACCGAUUUCGUGGGAGAGGGGAAAAACUCCAUAAUUUUAAAGUCCAUCAGCCUAGAAAUCUAAAAUAAAUUAAUAUUUUAACAUAACAAAUUUAACAACUUUAAAAAAAUCAGACUAACGUUCGAAAAUAACAUAAUCAACAUUUUUCAAAACAUAUAACAAUAUUUCGUAGAAAGUAGUACAGUCAACAUGUUUCAUAGGCUAGAACAGAUCCAACAUUUUCCAAAGCAAAGAUCAACAUUUUUGAAAUGCUAGUUUUUUUUAUUUCUUCUUCUUCCCCAAAGUCGGUAGCUGGAGGGCCGUCGUGGCAAGCACAAGCAGUAGCAGCGCGUGGUGGAGAUAGAUGACAUCGAUAGACCACAAUGGUGGAUGCGGUAGGGAUCAGCGCUCGCAACAAGGGAAGCCAUGGGGCUCCGCAACAAGCACGGGCAGUGCACGGCGGAGGUGGCGCCAAUGGACAGCAACAAGGGUGGGACGUGAAGCGAGCAUGAGCAGUCCAAAUCUGAUAGAAAUAUCUAGUCUUUUAUUUUUUUUCUAAAGUAUUACCUUAACAUAAUAUAUCGAUUUUCACCUCUAAACUUUUUACCUCGUAAAGAAUACUUUUAGAAUAUCAUGGAAAUCAAAUAGAUGUAUACUUUUUUCAAUGAUGGUUCUAGAUAAAAGAUUUUUUUCUUUUAAUGAUGGUUCUAGAUAAAAGAUUUUUUUAGCAAAAAUAUCGCCAUCGCUACAUAAAAAAGAAAGUAAACAUUUUUUAAAUAUGAUAUUAUAAAAGCACUAGUUACUUUUGUCAUUUGGCUAGCGCAACUACACUAUGAUCUAUUAAAUUUUUUACGAAGACAACCAACCAGCAUUUUCCUUAUCACUAAAGUUUGAGAGUUGCCAUGAUAUCUCCCGAAAUAUUUGGUGACCCGUGGAAUGUAUAUUUUAGUUAAAAAUUUAAAAAUGUAUUUAAACAAAUACAACUUGCAAAACAUAUGAAUAUUCUUCUAUAUAUUUUGUCAUCAAAUGAUCUGCUCGUAGUAAUCCUUGAGUUUCCUAAUAAGAGAUAGUUGAAAGUUUAUCUCACAAAGUGGAAAGCACAUAUUGAUUGUGUGCCCGGAUAAAAACAAAAGAAAUUCACACGCGUAUUUUAUGAUGUCUGAUAUGCACAUACCUUUUCUUUAUUCCGUUUGCCCUUUCCUUAUUCCACUUGGUCCAGGUCUGCCCUUCCUAGCCUACACAAUAUUUACCUUCUCAUCUUUAGCCUUCAAUUCAACUUCCAGCUCAUCUACCCCGUGGCACGCUUGCUAUGCGAACUUCAAAUCAUAUGCCAGCUCAUCCAAUGAGGUGAUUGUACCAAUCAACAAGCCCUCUAGAUCAAAAACAGCGGCACUAAUUAUUUGCCACUUGGCUACCUCCAUUUUUUUUUUGUUUCCACUUCAGGACGUACUACGGCUAGACAAGAUAGAGCAAAUUUUCUUUUACUUUCAAGAACAACCUUCUUCAACCUUACAUCUGCAACUUUGCAGCUUGGAGAACUGCAAAAUAGUAUCUUUCUUUAGCACAGCUGCAAACGCAAGCAGUUUCAGAUAUAUACAUGCCCUUAUCAUUAGCAUAAACAUCCUGAAACAGUAGAAAGGCAUAGCUAUAUAUCAAUACUGCACAUAGGAAAUAACGUGAGAUCAUACUCUUCUCUACUCUCUCCAGUCAGUGAAUUGGAUGAAUACAAAAGGAUUUUGCACUGCAUUUUGUAGCUUUUCUAUAUUUAUGUUGCUAUUAUUUAUAACCAAAGUACAUGAUCAAGGUGGCCAUAGUGACUCCUGAAAAUUAGCCAACAAUGAGCAGCUGAGUACACUUCCUAACUUCUAGGACAAAGCUUGAGUGCUUGAUUGAAAGCAAAGGACUUGGACAACACUGCCAAACAAAGUCUAACGGACUUUUCUGACUCUACUCUGAUAAGCCAACAAACAAAUCUUCAGAAAUGGAAGCAAAGGCCAAACCAAAUAGGGGUUAUUUUUUCCUGAAACCAUACAAGGAAAAACUGAGUAGUGAAUCAGUUAGGGUACUUUACAUUAUAGUGCCUGACAUGAAGUUAAACCCACUAUAGCCCCCCUCUACUUCUGCAAUUGUGAAAAUCUCCUCCCUUCUUGGUUCACAUAACAGAGAAGGCAUCCUCAACCAGCAUUCAUCUUGCUCAAACUAACUAGGGAGAUUUCAACCACAACUACCAUAACCAGCUGCUUCAUUUUUAGCGAGAUUUCAACCACAAGUACCAUAACCAGCCACUUCUGCUUUAGCGAGAUAUUAACCACAACUACCAGAACCACCCGCUUCUGCUUUGGCCUUUGGGGUUGGUAAAGGAUGACGUGGCAGGGCAGGGCAGAGUUGGGUGGUGAUGUGCUUACGGCUAAGCUGAUAAAGUUACAUCAAAUUCUCAAAAUAUUCUUUAAAUUUAAGUCAUAACAUGCAAACCGAUAACGAAAUCUCUACUCACAUGGUGAGUUUGAUGGUUCAAAUUUAACAGGUUUGCUACCAAGUAGGAGUCUACAAAACUAAGCUAGGUUUGCUAUUAGGUAGGGGCAUGGAGAUCAUAAACUAAGAAUCCAAUAGUUCAAAUUAGAUAGGUUCUUGGCAAAUUUGGAGGUUCGGGACUGAGAUGCAUUAAGGUCACAUUUCAAUCGUACAUGGCACUGAAA